UACGUAGGGUGCAAGCGUUGUCCGGAAUUAUUGGGCGUAAAGAGCUCGUAGGCGGUCUGUCGCGUCUGCUGUGAAAACUCAGGGCUUAACCCUGGAGCUUGCAGUGGGUACGGGGCAGACUAGAGUGCGAUAGGGGGAGACUGGAAUUCCUGGUGUAGCGGUGAAAUGCGCAGAUAUCAGGAGGAACACCGGUGGCGAAGGCGGGUCUCUGGGCCGUAACUGACGCUGAGGAGCGAAAGCAUGGGGGAGCGAACAGG
rnacentral:rRNA from 1 species